rnacentral:rRNA from 1 species
GACGAACGCUGGCGGCGUGCUUAACACAUGCAAGUCGAGCGGAGCGGCGAACGGGUGAGUAACGCGUGAGUAACUGCCCCCCUCUCUGGGAUAACAGUUGGAAACGGCUGCUAAUACCGGAUAGUGGGGGAUGACUCGCGUCCUAUCAGCUUGUUGGUGGGGUAGUGGCCUACCAAGGCGACGACGGGUAGCCGGCCUGAGCGGGCGACCGGCCACAUUGAGCUGAGCUACGGCCCACACUCCGACGGGGGGGAGCAGUGGGGGAUAUUGCACAAUGGGUGAAAGACUGAUGCAGCGACGCCGAGUGGGGGAUGAAGGUUGUCGGGUUGUAAACCUCUUUCGCUAUCGAAAGGGUAGGUGGAGAAGAAGCGCCGGCUAACUACGUGCCAGCAGCCGCGGUAAUUC